AUUGAACGCUGGCGGCAUGCUUUACACAUGCAAGUCGAACGGUAACAGGCCUUCGGGUGCUGACGAGUGGCGCACGGGUGCGUAAUGCAUCGGAACGUACCCAGAGGUGGGGGAUAACGCAGCGAAAGCUGUGCUAAUACCGCAUGUGAUCUGAGGAUGAAAGCGGGGGACCGAGCAGCAAUGUUUGGCCUCGCGCCUUUGGAGCGGCCGAUGUCGGAUUAGCUAGUUGGUGGGGUAAAGGCCUACCAAGGCGACGAUCCGUAGCUGGUCUGAGAGGACGACCAGCCAAACUGGGACUGAGACACGGCCCAGACUCCUACGGGAGGCAGCAGUGGGGAAUUUUGGACAAUGGGCGCAAGCCUGAUCCAGCAAUGCCGCGUGCGGGAAGAAGGCCUUCGGGUUGUAAACCGCUUUUGGCAGGAACGAAACGGUGUCCGCUAAUACCGGGCGCUAAUGACGGUACCUGCAGAAUAAGCACCGGCUAACUACGUG
rnacentral:rRNA from 1 species